CACGUAGGGUGCGAGCGUUGUCCGGAAUUAUUGGGCGUAAAGAGCUCGUAGGCGGCUUGUCGCGUCGACUGUGAAAACCCGCGGCUCAACUGUGGGCUUGCAGUCGAUACGGGCAGGCUGGAGUUCGGUAGGGGAGACUGGAAUUCCUGGUGUAGCGGUGAAAUGCGUAGAUAUCUGGAGGAAUACCGGUGGCGAAGGCGGCAUCCUGGACCGAGAUUGACACUGAUGAGCGAAAGCUAGGGGAGCAAACGGG
rnacentral:rRNA from 1 species